rnacentral:lncRNA from 8 species
AUGGCAGAGCAGCGUAACCACACAGCAGAGCACUAUCACCACAGAGUAGAGCAGCGUAACCACACAGCAGAGCAGUGUAACCACACAGCAGAGCAGCAUAACCACACAGCAGAGCAGCGUAACCACACAGCAGAGCAGCAUAACUACACAGCAGAGCAGCAUAACCACACAGCAGAGCAGCGUAACCACAUGGUAGAGCAGCAUAACCACACAGCAGAGCACUAUCACCACACAGCAGAGCACUAUCACCACACAGUAGAGCAGCGUAACCACACAGCAGAGCAGCGUAACCACACAGCAGAGCAGCAUAACCACACAGCAGAGCAGCACUAUCACCACACAGCAGAGCACUAUCACCACACAGCAGAGCAGCAUAACCACACAGCAGAGCAGCAUAACCACAAAGCAGAGCAGCAUAACCACACAGCAGAGCACUAUCACCACACAGCAGAGCAGCGUAACCACACAGCAGAGCAGCAUAACCACACAGCAGAGCAGCGUAACCACACAGCAGAGCAGCAUCACCACACAGCAGAGCAGCAUAACCACACAGCAGAGCAGCAUAACCACACAGCAGAGCAGCGUAACCACACAGCAGAGCAGCGUAACCACACAGCAGAGCACUAUCACCACACAGCAGAGCAGCAUAACCACACAGCAGAGCAGCGUAACCACACAGCAGAGCAGCGUAACCACACAGCAGAGCAGUGUAACCACAUGGCAGAGCAGCGUAACCACACAGCAGAGCAACAUAACCACACAGCAGAGCACUAUCACCACAGAGUAGAGCAGUGUAACCACACAGCAGAGCAGUGUAACCACACAGCAGAGCAGCGUAACCACACAGCAGAGCAGCAUAACCACACAGCAGAGCACUAUCACCACACAGCAGAGCACUAUCACCACACAGUAGAGCAGCGUAACCACACAGCAGAGCAGCGUAACCACACAGCAGAGCAGCAUAACCACACAGCAGAGCACUAUCACCACACAGCAGAGCACUAUCACCACACAGCAGAGCAGCAUAACCACACAGCAGAGCAGCAUAACCACACAGCAGAGCAGCAUAACCACACAGCAGAGCACUAUCACCACACAGCAGAGCAGCGUAACCACACAGCAGAGCAGCAUAACCACACAGCAGAGCACUAUCACCACACAGCAGAGCAGCGUAACCACACAGCAGAGCAGCAUAACCACACAGCAGAGCACUAUCACCACACAGCAGAGCAGCGUAACCGCACAGCAGAGCAGCAUAACCACACAGCAGAGCACUAUUACCACACAGCAGAGCAGCGUAACCACACAGCAGAGCAGCAUAACCACACAGCAGAGCAGCAUAACCACACAGCAGAGCAGCGUAACCACACAGCAGAGUGUCAUUGGCUCUGUCUCUUCAGUCCAACUGGGUUAACCUCCCUUAGAGGGGCACAGCAGAUGGAUAGCAUCUGUCUACACUGUUGA